rnacentral:rRNA from 1 species
UCAGGAUGAACGCGUGGCGGCGUGCCUAACACAUAGCAAGUCGGAGCGAGGAGAUCCUUCGGGAUGAUCCUAGCGGCGGACGGGUGAGUAACGACGUGGGCAACCUGCCUCAUAGAGAGGAAUAGCCUUCCGAAAGGGAGAUAAUACCUCAUAACAUUGCAGUUUCGCAUGAAACAGCAAUUAAAGGAGCAAUCCGCUAUGAGAUGGGCCCGCGGCGCAUUAGCUAGUUGGUGAGGUAACGGCUCACCAAGGCGACGAUGCGUAGCCGACCUGAGAGGGUGAUCGGCCACAUUGGGACUGAGACACGGCCCAGACUCCUACGGGAGGCAGCAGUGGGGAAUAUUGCACAAUGGGGAAACCCUGAUGCAAGCAACGCCGCGUGAGUGAUGACGGCCUUCGGGUUGUAAAGCUCUGUCUUCAGGGACGAUAAUGACGGUACCUGAGGAGGAAGCCACGGCUAACUACGUGCCAGCAGCCGC